UGGAUCCAGACUUUGAUUAUGGCUCAGGAUGAACGCUAGCUACAGGCUUAACACAUGCAAGUCGAGGGGCAGCAUGAAGUUUGCUUGCAAACUUUGAUGGCGACCGGCGCACGGGUGAGUAACGCGUAUCGAACCUGCCUCAUACCCGGGGAUAGCCUUGCGAAAGUAAGAUUAAUACCCGAUGUUUCCGGCGCGCCGCAUGACGUGUCGGGCAAAGAUUUAUCAGUAUGAGAUGGCGAUGCGUCCCAUUAGCUUGUUGGCGGGGUAACGGCCCACCAAGGCAUCGAUGGGUAGGGGUUCUGAGAGGAAGGUCCCCCACAUUGGAACUGAGACACGGUCCAAACUCCUACGGGAGGCAGCAGUGAGGAAUAUUGGUCAAUGACGAGAGUCUGAACCAGCCAAGUAGCGUGCAGGAAGACGGCCCUCCGGGUUGUAAACUGCUUUUAGUUGGGAAUAAAGUGCAUCACGUGUGAUGUUUUGUAUGUACCAUCAGAAAAAGGACCGGCUAAUUCCGUGCCAGCAGCCGCGGUAAUACGGAAGGUCCGGGCGUUAUCCGGAUUUAUUGGGUUUAAAGGGAGCGCAGGCGGGCGUUUAAGUCAGUUGUGAAAUGCGGCGGCUCAACCGUCGAACUGCAGUUGAUACUGGACGCCUUGAGUGUACACAGGGAUGCCGGAAUUCAUGGUGUAGCGGUGAAAUGCUCAGAUAUCAUGAAGAACUCCGAUCGCGAAGGCAGGCAUCCGGGGUGCAACUGACGCUGAGGCUCGAAAGUGCGGGUAUCAAACAGGAUUAGAUACCCUGGUAGUCCGCACAGUAAACGAUGAAUACUCGCGGUUGGCGAUAUAUUGUCAGCCGCCAAGCGAAAGCGUUAAGUAUUCCACCUGGGGAGUACGCCGGCAACGGUGCAACUCAAAGGAAUUGACGGA
rnacentral:rRNA from 1 species